rnacentral:rRNA from 1 species
AUACGGAGGACGCGAGCGUUAUCCGGAUUUACUGGGCGUAAAGGGCGUGUAGGCGGUCUUGCACGUCAGAAGUGAAAUUCCUGAGCUCAACUCGGGCGCUGCUUCUGAAACUGCAGGACUUGAGUGCUGGAGGGGAUAGCGGAAUUCCUAGUGGAGCGGUAAAAUGGGCAGAUGAUAGGAAGAACAACGGUGGCGAAGGCGGCUAUCUGGACAAUAACUAACGCUGCGGCGCGAAAGCGUGGGGAGCAAACAGGAUGAGAUACCCUGGUAGUCCCCGUUGUAAACGAUGAAUACUAGGUGUUGGUUGACUGACCCCCUCCGUGCCUCAGUUAACACAAUAAGUAUUCCACCUGGGGAGUACGAUCGCAAGAUUGAAACUCAAAGGAAUUGACGGGG